rnacentral:rRNA from 1 species
GCGUAGGAGCUCGUAGGCGGUUUGUCGCGUCUGCUGUGAAAAAAGAGGGUCAACCUCGGGCCUGCAGUGGGUACGGGCAGACUAGAGUGCGGUAGGGGAGAUUGGAAUUCCUGGUGUAGCGGUGGAAUGCGCAGAUAUCAGGAGGAACACCAAUGGCGAAGGCAGAUCUCUGGGCCGUAACUGACGCUGAGGAGCGAAAGCAUGGGGAGCGAACAGGAUUAGAUACCCUGGUAGUCCAUGCCGUAAACGUUGGGAACUAGAUGUGGGGACCAUUCCACGGUCUCCGUGUCGCAGCUAACGCAUUAAGUUCCCCGCCUGGGGAGUACGGCCGCAAGGCUAAAACUCAAAGGAAUUGACGGGGGCCCGCACAAGCGGCGGAGCAUGCGGAUUAAUUCGAUGCAACGCGAAGAACCUUACCAAGGCUUGACAUAUACCGGAAACGGCUGGAAACAGUCGCCCCGCAAGGUCGGUAUACAGGUGGUGCAUGGUUGUCGUCAGCUCGUGUCGUGAGAUGUUGGGUUAAGUCCCGCAACGAGCGCAACCCUCGUCCUAUGUUGCCAGCACGUAAUGGUGGGAACUCAUGGGAUACUGCCGGGGUCAACUCGGAGGAAGGUGGGGAUGACGUCAAAUCAUCAUGCCCCUUAUGUCUUGGGCUUCACGCAUGCUACAAUGGCCGGUACAAAGGGCUGCGAUACCGCAAGGUGGAGCGAAUCCCAAAAAGCCGGUCUCAGUUCGGAUUGAGGUCUGCAACUCGACCUCAUGAGGUCGGAGUCGCUAGUAAUCGCAGAUCAGCAACGCUGCGGUGAAUACGUU